UGGAGCUUCCUCCCUGGAGAGCUUCAUUUCACAAACAAAUAUUGGUCAUGCGCCUGCAGGGCCCGGGUCAAGGGCAGGACGUGGCUUGUGCCCUCACGUGUUCCUGGUCAGGUGGGCGGUGGAUUGCAACAUGAGAGCCAUCCCUAGCGAAAGGUGCCCUCCCAGAGUCCUGGGUGAGCAGAGGCUAGUGCUCCCUUCUGGGACGUGCUGCCGCUGAGGAAGGAAGACCAGGGGAAGCUCCGCGGUCCUCAACCCAUCCACCUCUUAGGUGUGCUGACCUAUGCUGGGUGCUUGGGGGAGGGGGGAUGCUUCACCUCCUGAUAACGGAGGACCAAGGAUAAAUGGUCAGGAGCUUGCACAGCGGGGACCAUGACCUCCAUUUUACAGGGCCCCGGAGCACCGCUCAGGGCUCGGCUCUCAGAGGGGCCCGAACCCUCCUCUCCAUGUUGCUUCUCCGGCUGGGACGAGGGCAGCUUCCCAGGAGCCCCAUCCUCAGCCAGGCCUUCUUGACUGCAGACUCCUCUGCUCUGGACGCCAGCUCCCGUGGAAAGCCUGCUGCUCCCCACGCACUGUCCCCAUUCAACCUCCCAACAACCCAGCGAGGCGCGCAUGGCUCACGACGCUCCCUAUGGGGUGAGGACGCGAGGUGGGGUGGGCAGAUGGUGUGCCCAAAGGCAUAUGGCUAGGGUUCAAGGGCACGUUGACACCUGAAGCGGGACCUCUGGAGCCCAGGGGUCCCUGCCAGGGUACGGUGGGCAUUGCUGGCUCACUGCCAGGGAAGUCCUGCCCUCUCCCUUGGCCCAAGACUUGGAGAGCUAUUUGGGGGCCGGGGGUGGGCGGCAUCGGGGGCUGCAGGAUGCCGGGGACGCUGGGAGGUGACAUUGUGGAGACCCACUUCUCUCCCAGGGUGUGUUUGGAGGCCGAUGGCAUCUUGGAAAGGGGAAUUCGUUGCCCAAGAAGGCUGCUGUGGGGUCCAGAAUACAGGCUUCCUUCCUUCUGGGAAGGAGGAGGGUUGAGGAAGAAACCUCCCAGCCCUGUUCUCUGCUAAGCGGAUUUCGGUUAAAACUCUGCCUCCCAGCCUGACCCAAAAGGCCUCGGGCGCAGCUCUGAGCCUUUCUCCAGUCCGAGAGGCCCGGGUCUCGGAGACUCCAGAUCUGUGUGCAGCCGGAGGCAGACCAGGCGGGGUCUCUGGCCUGCUCAGUGCCCAUGGCCCCAGGCCCCCUUCAACAGGGGACUUUGUUUCUUUCCCUGUGGCCCGUAGGAUGCGGGAAGAGGUCAGUAGAAGGGAGACAGAGCCAGAGGGGUGUGGAUGUCCACCCCUGCCCACCCCCAGGCCCCCUCUGUGCCACAGGAGGCCCCCUGCUGCAGGAGCUGGGAGUGGGGCUGGGGCCAGGUGGGCAGGGCCCCGCUGGGCCCGUGGGAGGGUGGAGAGGGCCCUGGGGAAGGGAGUUACCAGCAGCCUGCUCUGCGGAGACCCCGGGAGGCCCUCCUCCAUUCCGGUAAUGACAGAACGGGGUGGGAUGCCAGCUUCUGCCUCCAGGGCCCAGGCCCUCCCCUCGGCUGUCUCCCACCUGCUCCCCCACACUCCCCUCCUGCCCCACCGCGCCCCUCCCCUCCCUGGAAGGUGCAGAGCUGGGGCUGGCACACCCAGACAGGCGCGGCACGGCCACUCUCCGUGAUGACUUGAGCCGCUGGAGGUCCCUGCCCAGCCCAUUGACAAGACCUUGGGACGGGCCGAGUGACCUUCAUCUGGAAGUCAGCUGCCUCCACGUUAGUACUUCCUGUCGAGCAAAGGGCAAACGUAUCUUAGUCCUAGCCUGACCUCCAGGACCCCUCAAUGCCAAGGCUAUGUUAACGGUCUGAGCACCCCUCACCUGUCCUCAGUCCAAGCCUGGGGACUUGGUGGAACCCUACUGAGACCAAGAGCCAUUUCUUGCCCCCACCACCCCCUCGCAAAUGUUCCCCCUUCAAGUGACUUGAAGAAAUCACUUGUGGCGGGGGUGGGGGGUUCAUCCUUGUUCUUGAGUCCCUCCCUGGGGAGGCUGCCAAGUUCAGUGAAAGAAACAACCAAAGGAAGGCAUCUCGUGAAAUUCCAAUUUCUUCAACGGCGAGUGUUGCUUCCGUGUAAGUAUAUCCGUGCGAUGGGUAGGGGAUACGUAAACUAACGAUUAUUCCUUAUGGAUCGGAAAUUCCCGUUUGCCUGCGCCCCUCGUAUGUCUCUGAUGACCCUAGCCCCCUCUGCCCCAGAGCUUCUCCUGGCCUCGAAGCUGUAUUUUUUAUCAUCCUGUCUUUCCCAGAGCUGAAACGGCUGCUUCUUUUGGCAUUUUUGUAGCUUGAUAGUGACAGUAGGGGAAAAAGCUCGUGUCG